UGUUUUAGAAGUUUGAAUUCACAAACGGAUGUCAGCGUCUGCUCAACUGUGGAGCAUAUGCGGGAAAUAUAAUCACGAAAGGCAAGAAAUAAUGGCACAGCUACAGAGUAUUGAGCAAAUAGAUGUAAAUGUUAAAAAUAUUUUAUAUUUAGCGGAAAAGGGACAAGGAGCAAGUUAUUUUUUUGACUAUCUAAAAGAAACUGGACUGGAUAAGAGAAUUUAGGAGGAGACAAAUAUGAACAGAAGAUGGCAGUAGUGCAACAAACCGGAUGCAAGCUGCCGCUAAACACCAAAGAAGAAGAAGAUGCGUGUCCUCAACGGUUUGCGCGGGUAACUUAUCUUCGAUUCACUGCUUUAGUGCUUUGGUGAGCCAUCCUCGGAUAUCAUGGAGCUGCAUUUGCAUUUUGGAAUAAAGAAUAUGUUUUCUCCUGCGUUUCGAACGAAGGGUGGGAGCGUCACCGGUGCGACAUCUCCCGGGUUUCUCCAUGUACCACGUGUGAUGGUGCUUUUCUCGUGGACGUUUCUCUGGACAGAGUGAGAGAGAAGACAUUGCCCAGCCCCGUUGAUCCACUGAUGAUGUUGGUCUGUUUACAGGUUAUGUGGAAAAGCCUGUGCUUGGUGGAGAUCUACUGCAGAUGACCACAGCAUCCCAGUUCCCAAGAGGGGACUGUUUUAGUCAUUUUCUACUGGGCAAACUGAAUUACUCCAGAUUAUAAAAAACCUGUGCUUGUGGAUCUACAUCGGAUGACCAUGGCAACCCAGGUGUGGAAAUAUUAGACUGUUUUUAAUCUGAAAUCUGUGUAAUCUAAGAUGGACAAUUCUUCUGACACCAUAUGAAUGCAUACUGUCGUCUGGCAGAAGCUAGAUCAUUUAGAUUAUAAAGUUAUAUGUUUUUACACAUGCAUAUAUUUGCUUCAGAAGGCCUUUAUUAAAGGAUUAGUUCACCUCAAAAUGAACAUUUCCUGAUCAUUAAAGGAAUAG